AUUGAACGCUGGCGGCAGGCCUAACACAUGCAAGUCGAGCGAGCGGCGGGCGGGUGAGUAAUGUAUGGGGAUAUUUCCGAUGGCGGGGGAUAACUACUGGAAACGGUAGUUAAUACAGCAUCCCAUCAGAUGAACCCAUAUGGGAUUGUCUUGUAGGUGAGGUAUAGGCUCACCAAGGCGACGAUCCCUAGCUGGUCUGAGAGGAUGAUCAGCCACACUGGAAAUGAGACACGGUCCAGACUCCUACGGGAGGCAGCAGUGGGGAAUAUUGCACAAUGGGCGCAAGCCUGAUGCAGCCAUGCCGCGUGUGUGAAGAAGGCCUUCGGGUUGUAAAGUACUUUCAGUCGGGAGGCGUUACCCGCAGAAGAAGCACCGGCUAACUCCGUGCCAGCAGCCGCGGUAAUAC
rnacentral:rRNA from 1 species